rnacentral:rRNA from 1 species
GGGUUGUGAGGUUAAGCGACUAAGCGUACACGGUGGAUGCCCUGGCAGUCAGAGGCGAUGAAGGGCGUGCUAAUCUGCGAUAAGCGCCGGUAAGGUGAUAUGAACCGUUAUAACCGGCGAUACCCGAAUGGGGAAACCCAGUGUGACUCGUCACACUAUCAUUAACUGAAUCCAUAGGUUAAUGAGGCGAACCGGGGGAACUGAAACAUCUAAGUACCCCGAGGAAAAGAAAUCAACCGAGAUUCCCCCAGUAGCGGCGAGCGAACGGGGAGGAGCCCAGAGCCUGAAUCAGCAUGUGUGUUAGUGGAAGCGUCUGGAAAGGCGCGCGAUACAGGGUGACAGCCCCGUACACAAAAGCGCAUGUGCUGUGAGCUCGAUGAGUAGGGCGGGACACGUGGUAUCCUGUCUGAAUAUGGGGGGACCAUCCUCCAAGGCUAAAUACUCCUGACUGACCGAUAGUGAACCAGUACCGUGAGGGAAAGGCGAAAAGAACCCCGGCGAGGGGAGUGAAAAAGAACCUGAAACCGUGUACGUACAAGCAGUGGGAGCACAGGUUUACCUGUGUGACUGCGUACCUUUUGUAUAAUGGGUCAGCGACUUAUAUUCUGUAGCAAGGUUAACCGAAUAGGGGAGCCGCAGGGAAACCGAGUCUUAACCGGGCGUUAAGUUGCAGGGUAUAGACCCGAAACCCGGUGAUCUAGCCAUGGGCAGGUUGAAGGUUGGGUAACACUAACUGGAGGACCGAACCGACUAAUGUUGAAAAAUUAGCGGAUGACCUGUGGCUGGGGGUGAAAGGCCAAUCAAACCGGGAGAUAGCUGGUUCUCCCCGAAAGCUAUUUAGGUAGCGCCUCGUGAAUUCAUCUCCGGGGGUAGAGCACUGUUUCGGCUAGGGGGCCAUCCCGGCUUACCAACCCGAUGCAAACUGCGAAUACCGGAGAAUGUUAUCACGGGAGACACACGGCGGGUGCUAACGUCCGUCGUGAAGAGGGAAACAACCCAGACCGCCAGCUAAGGUCCCAAAGUCAUGGUUAAGUGGGAAACGAUGUGGGAAGGCCCAGACAGCCAGGAUGUUGGCUUAGAAGCAGCCAUCAUUUAAAGAAAGCGUAAUAGCUCACUGGUCGAGUCGGCCUGCGCGGAAGAUGUAACGGGGCUAAACCAUGCACCGAAGCUGCGGCAGCGACACUGUGUGUUGUUGGGUAGGGGAGCGUUCUGUAAGCCUGUGAAGGUGGCCUGUGAGGGUUGCUGGAGGUAUCAGAAGUGCGAAUGCUGACAUAAGUAACGAUAAAGCGGGUGAAAAGCCCGCUCGCCGGAAGACCAAGGGUUCCUGUCCAACGUUAAUCGGGGCAGGGUGAGUCGACCCCUAAGGCGAGGCCGAAAGGCGUAGUCGAUGGGAAACGGGUUAAUAUUCCCGUACUUGGUGUUACUGCGAAGGGGGGACGGAGAAGGCUAUGUUGGCCGGGCGACGGUUGUCCCGGUUUAAGCGUGUAGGUGUGUGUUCCAGGUAAAUCCGGUUCACUUUAACACUGAGGCGUGACGACGAGGCACUACGGUGCUGAAGCAACAAAUGCCCUGCUUCCAGGAAAAGCCUCUAAGCAUCAGGUAACAUCAAAUCGUACCCCAAACCGACACAGGUGGUCAGGUAGAGAAUACCAAGGCGCUUGAGAGAACUCGGGUGAAGGAACUAGGCAAAAUGGUGCCGUAACUUCGGGAGAAGGCACGCUGACAUGUAGGUGAAGUGAUUUACUCAUGGAGCUGAAGUCAGUCGAAGAUACCAGCUGGCUGCAACUGUUUAUUAAAAACACAGCACUGUGCAAACACGAAAGUGGACGUAUACGGUGUGACGCCUGCCCGGUGCCGGAAGGUUAAUUGAUGGGGUCAGCGCAAGCGAAGCUCCUGAUCGAAGCCCCGGUAAACGGCGGCCGUAACUAUAACGGUCCUAAGGUAGCGAAAUUCCUUGUCGGGUAAGUUCCGACCUGCACGAAUGGCGUAAUGAUGGCCAGGCUGUCUCCACCCGAGACUCAGUGAAAUUGAACUCGCUGUGAAGAUGCAGUGUACCCGCGGCAAGACGGAAAGACCCCGUGAACCUUUACUAUAGCUUGACACUGAACAUUGAGCCUUGAUGUGUAGGAUAGGUGGGAGGCUUUGAAGUGUGGACGCCAGUCUGCAUGGAGCCGACCUUGAAAUACCACCCUUUAAUGUUUGAUGUUCUAACGUGGACCCGUUACCCGGGUUGCGGACAGUGUCUGGUGGGUAGUUUGACUGGGGCGGUCUCCUCCUAAAGAGUAACGGAGGAGCACGAAGGUUGGCUAAUCCUGGUCGGACAUCAGGAGGUUAGUGCAAUGGCAUAAGCCAGCUUGACUGCGAGCGUGACGGCGCGAGCAGGUGCGAAAGCAGGUCAUAGUGAUCCGGUGGUUCUGAAUGGAAGGGCCAUCGCUCAACGGAUAAAAGGUACUCCGGGGAUAACAGGCUGAUACCGCCCAAGAGUUCAUAUCGACGGCGGUGUUUGGCACCUCGAUGUCGGCUCAUCACAUCCUGGGGCUGAAGUAGGUCCCAAGGGUAUGGCUGUUCGCCAUUUAAAGUGGUACGCGAGCUGGGUUUAGAACGUCGUGAGACAGUUCGGUCCCUAUCUGCCGUGGGCGCUGGAGAACUGAGGGGGGCUGCUCCUAGUACGAGAGGACCGGAGUGGACGCAUCACUGGUGUUCGGGUUGUCAUGCCAAUGGCACUGCCCGGUAGCUAAAUGCGGAAGAGAUAAGUGCUGAAAGCAUCUAAGCACGAAACUUGCCCCGAGAUGAGUUCUCCCUGAGACUUAGAGUCUCCUGAAGGAACGUUGAAGACGACGACGUUGAUAGGCCGGGUGUGUAAGCGCAGCGAUGCGUUGAGCUAACCGGUACUAAUGAACCGUGAGGCUUAACCUUACAACGCCGAAG